rnacentral:lncRNA from 1 species
GGAGCCAUGAGGAAUUCAUGCCUUGCAAAGGGGAGGAGCCUGCCCUCUUGAGCUCUUGUGGUGACCUGGGAAUCAAUGUGUGAGGUGGUGCUAUGUAGCAGGAACCCCUCUUGCUUUGCAAAUAGUUUUUUGUUUGUUUUCCUUUUUGCCCAAUAGAGCCCUGCUCUACUGACCCUUCAAUGUGCCCGUGUGCCUAAAUAUUCCUGGUCGUGUGAAAAGAACCCAGGUAUUAGCUGAACUAAGGAGCACAAUUCUGCAACAUUUUGGCACCCAAACACGGGGCUUGAGAAAUGAAUGCAAUUGGAGAAACUGGUUGUUUUACCAGGCGUUGAUUGGAAAUGUGUGCUUCCCUUUAAGCAGUCAAGCUCAACUUGCAGAACUGAUGGGAACCCCUUGGGAAAACUGGCCUCAAAUGUUUGUCUACACAGUCCACAUACAGGGUUCUUAACCUGCGACUGACCCUGCUUGUGCCUGUGAACCAACCAACAAUCUCUGGCUGCAGCUCAGAAAGGACAAAAGAGAAUGGAUGAGGGAAACUUCCCAGGGCUUGUCUGGGUAUGCCCACAGUGGACUGGAGCCCAAAAUGCACACUGGAGGAAGUGGAUGGAGCCACGUGGAUGUCAUGCCUUAUGCAGGGGAGGAGCCUGCUCUCUUCAGCUCCUGUGGUAAUGUGGGAAUCGAUCUGUGAGGAAACACUUUCUGAAAAUGUCAGAACUCUUGAAAACAUGGAUGAGGAAAAGCAUAAGUACUGCUUUAUGCUUUUCUUAUGAAUUUUAAAAGAUGUAAUUUAAAGGUACUUUAAAGUGAUAUUUGUGCCCUUGUAACUGAUUCAAAGUAGACUGCUAAGGACAAUAAGUAAUAAGAGUCUACAAAUAUCAGUAAAUUAUGAGAAAAAACGGUCUAAUGGUACUUAAAAUUGCAUUGUGAUUUAUUAAAUAACAUUGAACAGCUCCACCUGUAACAUUAAGAUUCCAUUUGAGCAUAUAGAAAAUAUAUUUAUCGCAACCUGAAGUGAUUUGGAAAGUAUGCUGGGAAGAAAAUAUAUUUACAAAUUAGUCUCAGAGGGUAGGUAUCCUGUAGCCAGAUGGAAUAAGAAGAGAGGGAAGGGAGAUUUUGUUCAAAGGGGGAGCAUAAGCUAAGGAAUAAAGCCACAAACAAUGAUUAAAUUAGGUAAAGUGCAAUUAGCUGAAUAUUGCAUAAGCAUACAUAUGGGAAGAAGUGGAAAAAGGAGUGACAAUAUGAAGCUAAAGGGUUUGAAGUGUUCAAGAUAAUACUAGGCUUCCUAGCCUAUUCCGAGACAUCUUGUUUUAGAGUGCAAUAGAUAAGAACUCUAAGGAUGAAAGUAGGAGACAUGCAUUCUAGUCUACGUUUUGGUUAAUGGACUGAAAGUGAAAGAUGGACUGAAAUUGGGGGAUGGAAUAAAAAUGUGAUAGAAUAGAAAAUAGAAAAAGCAAUUAGCCUAAUGUCAUUGAUACUUAGAGAAAAUAUGGAAAAUAGUAAAUUAGUGAUAUAUAUCUUUUCUAAUUCACCAGGGUGAGUGAACAAAGGAAAUCGGAUUUAAAAGUAUUCAUGACAUAGAUGCAAUAAGGUUUCUCAGUCAGACAUAGCAAAUUGAGGGAAGGGAAGAUUUAGAGGAUUGGAAAAUGUCUUGCUUGUAGACUAAUAGGAUAUCAAUAAGCCAUAUGAGCAAUAAUUUGAAAUAGUUUUUGUAAAGUAUCAUGAAGGUAAACCCUGUUUAGAACAAAUUAGAUUUGAAGUACUUGUGACAAAUGCAAUUGACAAUGCCUUUAUGCAGCUGGAAAAUUGUUGCUUAGCAGAAAAGCUUGUGCUGGACAAAUAGAUGUCCAAAUUGAAUAGAUGUUUUCUUAAGCUGAACUAAUUGAGACAAAUAUCCUUAUUAAAUCAAAAAAUUAAAAAUUGAAAUAACUUACCUAUGAUAGGGUAAAUAAUGUUAUUAAUAUACACAAGAAAUAUGUGAUGUAUAUGUGUAUGUACAUAUGUAUACAUAGUAAUAAUACAUAGUGCUAUUUUUAAAUGAUAUUUUACAUAGUGCUUUUUUAAAUGAUUUUUCAAUCAUCGUUGUUGGUCUGUGUUAUUUUAAUCAUCAAAGCUGAUUGAUUUCUGUUUUUGUGUUUUUUUUUGUUUUUUUUGAGGUGGAGUCUCACUCUGUCACCCAUGGUGGAGUACAGUAGUGCGGUCUUAGCUCACUACAAACUCCACUUCCCUGAUUCAAGUAAUUCUUGUGCCUCAGCCUCUCGAGUAGCUUGGAUUGCAGGCAUGCACCACCACGAGCUGCUAAAUUUUUUGUAUUUUUUGUAGAGGGGUUUUGCCAUGUUGGCCAAGCUGGUCUCAAACUCCUGACCUCAAGUGAUCCGCCCUGGCUUCCCAAGCCCAGCUGAUUCCUGUUUAAAUAAAAACUUACAAAGAUCUUCCCACAAGUACUUUAUCUUACAAUUUACUGAACAAUAGAGGCAGUGAAGAUGUUUUUCAGAAAGCAAUUGUGAUCCUGACAUUUUCUUCUUAUAAUCCUGUGCUUUCCUCAUUUUUUUAUAUUAAAAGUAAUAGUUCUUGUGAUGGCAACUAGGAUUUGUAACAACAUGUACCCUCAUUUCCUGCAUGACCUUUUUUAUGUCACUUCUUCACAUGCAAAGUAUACUCCCUCAGUGUCAUUACAUUAUUUGAUUUUUGCCCUUUCCCUCACCUUUCCAUGUGUUUAUUUGCCUAUGCCCAUCUCCUAGUCACAUUUUAUCUAGUUAACGCCAACUUGACUUUCAAUGCUGUUCAAGAUUUACCUCAAUCUCAAGUGUUUUCUCUUUAUAUUCCAUACACGCUUAGCUUGGCUGCCAAUCCUCUUGGCUGCCAAAGAAUCCCAAAUUAUCUCUUUCAAAAAUACAAGAAAUAAAGGAUGGAGGAUAGGAAGGAGGGUGGUCAGGAAAGAACAAAGAAAGGAGGGGAGAGGAAAAAAAGAGAGAAAGAAAGAGAAUUAAAGUUAAGGAGGAAGAAUUUCACACUGAAUUAAAAUUGAUAAUAUUCAGGAAUGAUUUUAUAGUAGGCAUACAUUGAUAAAUAUUAGUUAAAUUAAUGAAUUAUUCCAAAAGAUCAUGAUUUGUAAAAAUUACCCUGAAGCACUUUAGGAAUAUUACAUUGAAAUAGGUAUGCAAUUUCUAAAGAAACUGGACUGCAAAAAUAGCCAUUGUGUGUACCUGUGGACCAGAAUAUUAUAUUUUGCUUAAGUUUGAAGUGUUAAAGUGCCCAACGUGCUCUUAUUUUAACCUAGCAAAUUUUCAGCAGAACUUAAGCUCAUAUAGUAUUUGAUUUUUUCAUUUCUCACAACUGUUGGAAUUCUGUUUUAUUGAAAAUUAUACAAUAAAAUGUUAAAAAAUCUUUGUUCCUGCAGUUAUGCAAUCUUAUGCCAAAGUCAAUAAAUUAUUAAAUUAAAAUCAAACCCACUAAGCCUAACAAUUUGAGAAAAUGAUUAUUAAAACAUAUACCAUUUAGAAGGGCAAUGCCUUUUUAAUAUUAUAGUGAAGACAACCCUAUCAAUUAUUUAAUACACCAAGAAUACAAGGAUAUAAAAUCUUUUUCUCUCAUAUAUCACAUUAUCUGAUGUAUUUAGCUGUGAUGACAUUCCAGAAAACAUCACUUUUUAAAAUUUCUAAGAUUUUAUUAUGUUGCUAGCAAAUCGAUUUUUUUCAAGUACUGUAACAAAAUCCCUAAAUGGGCUUUAUGAGAACUAUUUUCAGUGUGAUAUUAAUCAUAUUUUAUUUAUCAUCCAUACAUAGAUGGUAGCUUAUCUGGUAUUCCUAGUGUUUGAAGUGAAGAGUAACACACACACACAUCCCAAUACCAAUUUAAUUGAUAAAUAUAUAAUCAUUUGUUUUCAAAUAUUUAUGUUGAUACUUGCUUGUGUACUUACUUGUAAUGUAGGUCUGUAAAAGGGACUGUUUUCUUUCUGUGAAACUGAAGCUUAAAGCAGUGCUUGUCACAAAUUCAAAAUCACCUUGCUUUGUCAACAUUUUCAGAUGUUUUUGGCUCAGUCUGAUGACAGCAUCAGUGCAGUAAAGGGAUCUUAUUGAAAUGUUUUAACUAAAGAUAAAAUGCCACCACUAGGAGAAAAAUAAAAUCAAGGAAAUAAACAGAAAAUCAAUAAAUGUGAAAUGUAUUAUAAAUUUAUAUAAUAACAAUGUUGUAUGCUAUAAACAUCUCACUUUGUAAAAUUAACAAGAAUUCAGUGAGGCAGAUCAUUUUCUAUGUGUUCAGAAGUCAAGUCUUUGAUGGCUAAUUUUUAUAUUACUUCAUUACAAUAUCUCUACUGAAGCAAAAUAAUUGCAAAUCUUUUUGAAUGAAAUCAAUUUAUCUUUAAUUUUAGAUAAUAUUUGGUAUAGUUGGCAUAGUUUUGUCACAAAGCAUAGCUAACAUCAAUGUAGCCUUACGACUUCAAAUGUCUUUAUAGAUCUUUUCUGAAAUUGCAAAAUUUUACUUUGAAAUUAUUGUUAAUAUUUACGUUGCACAACCACAAAUGUAGAAAUAAAAUUAUAAAGUCUCCAGAUAAUGUUUUAUUUUAACCACACAUAUGUUGUGAUAGUUUCAAAUAAAUGAAAGCUCUACUGAUUUAUCAUUUUCAA